ACGAAAAAUAAUAACUUUUAUGCAUAUGUAAACUAGGUUUCCAUUCUUCCUACCAAAAUCAGCAUAUUCAAGGAUAGUCACGUUUACCGACAUAAAUGAUUUCACCAGAAAGCUAAUUCCCGUUUACCAUUGCGAGAGCGUUCAAAUGGAAACCCAGGAUGAAUCUGCAGGAGGAACCAAGGAACAGUGCAAAACCGGAAACGCAUUUAUUCGGGCUGUAAAAGGUGGGCAGGGUGGAUUUCCAGAAACACGUCACCACAUACCAAAACAGCCCUAUUUGCCACACACGUGAUAUUCACAAGCUCCUCUCUCUCUCUCUCUCGCUUUCAAAAACUUCCCACCAAGUUUCUCCCCUUCCAAGAUCCAACUUCCGGCUGUCGACACUUGGCAGCUCCUGGAACCCUAAUUCUCCCCCAUGUCCCCGUCCGGUGAUGGUGCCGGCGGAAGAUGCGCGUGCUUUUCUUGGGAAAAUGGUGGUUCCGACCCCGACGAUCCUCACUGUCCGCAUUGUGGAGGAUCGGAUCCUUCUUCUUGCUCUUCGAUUCUCUCGAAUUCGAUACGGAUUCAGGAUUCGGAGAAGCUGUGGAGAAUCGUCACGGCCUCGGCCAAGGGCUUCACUAUUGGUGUCGGUAUCAAAGGUGGCCUCGCUAUAUUCUCGGUUGUAGCUAGGUUGAUUGCUAGGUUGAGACGCAGAAGAUUAUCGGCAUAUGCGAGGAAGUUUUCAAAUAGUGAAGAUGUGGUGAUAGCUUUAAAAGAGACGCUCAGAUACGGACUCUUUCUUGGAACCUUUGCUGGUACAUUUGUUUCAGUGGAUGAGAUUGUGGCUGCUUUGGGUGGUCAUCGUAGGACUGCUAGGUGGAGGUCUCUGUUAGCGGGGGCGAUUGCAGGGCCUUCAAUGCUUCUGUCCGGACCGAACACCCAGCACACUACCUUGGCAAUAUACAUCCUUAUGCGGGCUGCUGUCUUAGCAUCACGUUGCGGAAUAAAAAGUAAACGAUUUGGACGUAUUUGUAAACCUCUAACUUGGUCGCAUGGUGACAUAUUUCUCAUGUGUCUCUCAUCUUCACAAAUUUUGUCUGCUUACAUAUUGAAGCAAGAGAGCUUGCCUCCAUCAUAUAAAUCCUUUCUCAAUAAACAUGGUGGAAAGGAUCCCAUUAUCCUGCAAGCUGUGAAAGACAUUGCAAGUGGCAUUCCUUUUACUAAUUUGGAGGCAGUAGAGAAUUAUUACAACACCAUUGGUGUUAAAAUUAAACUAGACCCAUCAAUGAAAGUCCCCUGCUCGAUUAUACAUGGACAUCAAUCAUGCAGCAAGCAUGUUGUGUCUUUUCUUAUUCAAGCUUACAAAAGAGCACUACCAGUUUAUCUGCCUGUAUAUUUGAUUCCUGCAUUAAUAGUUCAUCGUCAAGACCUCUUGAAAAGGCCUUAUACAAUUUUGGGAAAGGGUCUUCUUGGUACAGCAAGAUCCAGCUUGUUCCUAUCUGUAUAUUGUUCGUCUGCCUGGAUGUGGACUUGCCUGCUCUUCAGGAUUUUAAAGAGAUGUAAUAUUCCAAUGGUGGCAAUGGGAACGUUCCCAACUGGCUUGGCCUUGGCUAUUGAGAAGAAGAGCAGGCGAAUUGAGAUAUCACUUUACUGCCUCUCACGAGCUAUAGAGAGCUUCUUCACAUGCAUGGUUGAUGCUGGAUACUUGCAACCAUCAAAGAAUCUGAAGAGAGCUGAUGUUGUGAUUUUCAGUUUAUCAACAGCCAUCAUCAUGCACUGCUAUGCACAGGAGAGGGAAGUAUUUCGAUCUAAGUACUUGAAUGUCCUUGACUGGGUAUUUGGUGUCCCUCCUCCCCCAGAUGAAACCCCGCGCUACAAGAAUAGGUAGCAAAUGUGUGGGGUGUUUGGGCUACAUGGGAGUUUUUGGGGUUUCUUCUUCCCUUUUGGGGUGUUUUCUUUUUGUAGUAAUCAGGGAGAGGUUGUAUUUAACAUUUAUUCAGACAGCAUCAAGCUGCAGAGAUGACAGUUUUUAAUGGUUUUAUUUUCCCUCAACUGAUGGAAGGAUAAAAUUUACGUACCAUAAUAUUAAUAGUAUGGCAUGAUUUACACAGUAACCAUUGAUGCUUGUGUGUAAGCAGAGGGUUUGAUAUCGCUGGAUGAUGAGGACCCAGGGGUUGUCUUGGAUUGGAGAAAUGAAGGACUGCUGCUGAAGUUUCUGCUCGUCUAACUGUUCAGUUCCAAGUUUGUAGUGGGGUUGUACCAACUACCAAGUAAAGCUGGACAUGGUGAGGUCAAACAGGGGAAUUUUUCCAUAGAAGACACCUUCAAGGUGGAAGUGCAGGACGGUGUACUGGAACCCCAUCAGGAUUUGCCCAAGUCCAGCAUCACUUAUUCGGCCUCAUUUCAAGUGUCUGUUUGGUCCAAGGAGCGGAACAUGCCUAUUGACUAUGAGGACCUUCUGCCCAAUCUUUAAGAUAUGUUUAUUGAGAAAGCGGGGAUGGUCCGGAUGGUGUCUAUUACUCAUUUUCGAGCAUGUUUGAGUGCAUCAUGGGAAGAGUCAGAACUUAGAAGCCUCCUAUCUCUCUCCAAUUAACACGUAUUAUGUACGGCCAGAAAUAAUUUCUAAUGGCGACUACUAGUCUACUACAAGUGAAUCUCAAAGAUGAAUUACACUUA